UACGUAGGGGGCUAGCGUUGUCCGGAAUCAUUGGGCGUAAAGCGCGCGUAGGCGGCCCGGUAAGUCCGUUGUGAAAGUCAAAGGCUCAACCUUUGAAAGCCGAUGGAUACUGCCGGGCUAGAGUCCGGAAGAGGCGAGUGGAAUUCCUGGUGUAGCGGUGGAAUGGCGCAGAUAUCAGGAGGAACACCGAUAGCGAAGGCAGCGCGCUGGGACGUACUGACGCUAAGGCGCGAAGCGUGGGAGCGACAGG
rnacentral:rRNA from 1 species